GAGAGAGAGAGAGAGAGGCAUCAUCAUUGUUAAAAAGGAUGGAGAAACAGAUGGAGAAAGGGAUUGACUGUGUAGAGAGAGGGCAGUGAAACGACCGAAGCUUUAAACGUGUAGUGUCGAUAUACGUUGUUCGUCUUCUGCUUAAAAUGGGGCGACAGUAAAUCUCUAUCUAUUGCUUUACUAAAGAAUCUCUAUGUAUAGAUGAAUGUCUAGGGUACUUGUGUGUGUGUGUGUUUUAUUUUUAGAUGUUUAGAUGUAUGUGUAGGGUGCUUUGUGUGAGAGAGAGAGAGAGAGAUAUUACAUACUUAGAUGUAUGUGUAGGGUGCAAACGUAGCGACGAAUACUGAAACCCAUUCCCCUUCUCCCCU